rnacentral:rRNA from 1 species
UUCUGGUUGAUCCUGCCAGACCUGACUGCUAUCGGAUUGAUACUAAGCCAUGCGAGUCAUUGUAGCAAUACAAGGCAUACGGCUCAGUAACGCGUAGUCAACCUAACCUAUGGACGGGAAUAACCUCGGGAAACUGAGAAUAAUGCCCGAUAGAACAUUAUACCUGGAAUGGUUUAUGUUCCAAAUGAUUUAUCGCCGUAGGAUGGGACUGCGGCCUAUCAGUUUGUUGGUGAGGUAAUGGCCCACCAAGACUAUUACAGGUACGGGCUCUGAGAGGAGUAGCCCGGAGAUGGGUACUGAGACACGGACCCAGGCCCUAUGGGGCGCAGCAGGCGAGAAAACUUUGCAAUGUGCGAAAGCACGACAAGGUUAAUCCGAGUGAUUUCUGCUAAAGAAAUCUUUUGUUAGUCCUAGAAACACUAACGAAUAAGGGGUGGGCAAGUUCUGGUGUCAGCCGCCGCGGUAAAACCAGCACCUCAAGUGGUCAGGAUGAUUAUUGGGCCUAAAGCAUCCGUAGCCGGCUCUGUAAGUUUUCGGUUAAAUCUGUACGCUUAACGUACAGGCCGCCGGGAAUACUGCAAAGCUAGGGAGUGGGAGAAGUAGACGGUACUCGGUAGGAAGUGGUAAAAUGCUUUGAUCUAUCGAUGACCACCUGUGGCGAAGGCGGUCUACUAGAACACGUCCGACGGUGAGGGAUGAAAGCUGGGGGAGCAAACCGGAUUAGAUACCCGGGUAGUCCCAGCUGUAAACUAUGCAAACUCAGUGAUGCAUUGGCUUGUGGCCAAUGCAGUGCUGCAGGGAAGCCGUUAAGUUUGCCGCCUGGGAAGUACGUACGCAAGUAUGAAACUUAAAGGAAUUGGCGGGGGAGCACCACAAGGGGUGAAGCCUGCGGUUCAAUUGGAGUCAACGCCGGA